UACGUAGGGGGCAAGCGUUGUCCGGAAUUAUUGGGCGUAAAGAGCGCGUAGGCGGUCCGAUAAGUCGGCUGUGAAAGUCAGGGGCUCAACCCUUGGAUGCCGGCCGAUACUGUCGGACUAGAGUCCGGAAGAGGAGAGUGGAAUUCCUGGUGUAGCGGUGAAAUGCGCAGAUAUCAGGAAGAACACCCGUGGCUAAGGCGGCUCUCUAGUACGGUACUGACGCUGAGACGCGAAAGCGUGGGGAGCGAACAGG
rnacentral:rRNA from 1 species